AUACGGAGGAUCCGAGCGUUAUCCGGAUUUAUUGGGUUUAGAGGGUGCGCAGGCGGGAGAUUAAGUCGGCGGUGAAAUUUUGCAGCUCAACUGUAAAAGGGCCUUCGAAACUGGGUUCCUUGAGUGUAGAUGAAGUAGGCGGAAUUUGUGGUGGAGCGGUGAAAUGCAUAGAUAUCACGAGGAACUCCGAUUGCGCAGGCAGCUUACUAAACUACUACUGACGCUCAGGCACGAAGGCGUGGGGAUCAAACAGGAUUAGAUACCCUGGUAGUCCACGCAGUAAACGAUGAUUACUAGCUGUUUGCGAUACAAUGUAAGCGGCUGAGCGAAAGCGUUAAGUAAUCCACCUGGGGAGUACGUUCGCAAGAAUGAAACUCAAAUGAAUUGACGGGG
rnacentral:rRNA from 1 species